UCUCUCUUCCUUACAUUCUGAGAAUCCAAUCACUCACUGAUUCAUUUGCUGUUGUUGUGAUCUGUAUCAUAUCAUGGCUGAAGCACUUGUUGUUGGAGCUUUAGUUUCUGGCUCCAUCAGCCUUGUUCUUAACAGGCUCAUUUCACCUGAGUUUGUCAACUCGGUGGUGAGCAAGAAGCUAGACCGGAAGUUGGUUGAGAGGCUCAAGACUGCUCUCUUGGCUGCCAAAGCUCUGGCUGCUGACGCUGAGCAGAAGCAGUUUGGAAACGAACUCGUGAGGGAGUGGCUUGAUAGUCUCAGGGAUGCUCUCUACACUGCUGAUGACUUGCUGGACCGUGUCUUCAUCAAAGCUCAAAUUCGCCAAAAGGUACGCGUUCGCCUUCCUCUCCGCCUUAAUUUAUCUGCUUGGAAGAUGGUGACUAAGAUAAACAAGGUGGUUAAAAGAAUAGAAGAUCUUCAGAAACUUAAAGAUAGCCUUGAUCUGAAAGAGAUUCCAAUGGGUAGCUCCUCAUGGAGAACUCCAUCCACUUCUCUUGAAAGGGGGACUGUCUAUGGCAGGGAUGAUGACGAACAGGCAUUAAUCAAGAUGCUAAAUGACAACAAUGAUCAUAACUUGUCUGUCAUCUCUAUUGUUGGUAUGGGUGGGGUUGGUAAAACUACUUUAGCACAAUGCCUGUACAACAAUAAGGAUUUGAUGGACGGGGUUGAUCUAAAUGCAUGGGUUUGUGUUUCUGAAAAUUUUGAUGUCAUUGAGACUACUAAGAAUGUUAUAAAGGGGAUCUCUUCAGGUGUUUGUAGUCUUGACAACUUUGAUUUACUUCAGCAAGAUUUGAAGAAAAAACUGUCAGAGAAGAAGUUCUUCAUUGUUUUGGAUGAUGUUUGGAGUGAAGAUGCUGACAAGUGGAAUAGUUUUAUCACCCCUUUUCAACAUGGGAAAAAGGGAAGCACUAUUCUCCUAACUACCCGCAAGGUAAAUGUUGGUCGAAUAGUCCAACACUAUAACUCUUACAUUCUCAAGCAACUGUCAGAUGAUGAUUGUUGGUCUAUUUUUGUGGACAAUGCAUCCUUUCCUGAGUCAAAUGGGAGCUCGGAACUGGAAGAAAUAGGUAGAAAGAUUGUCAAGAGGUGUGAUGGCUUGCCGUUAGCUGCAGAAACACUUGGACGCUUGUUGCGUUCAGAGCAUCGUGUUGAAGAAUGGAAUAAAAUACUGUUGAGUGACAUUUGGGAAUUUCCUAUUACAGACAGUAAGAUCGUUCCUGCGUUGUUAAUAAGUUACUAUCAUCUGCCUGCUCAUUUAAAACAUUGCUUUGUUUAUUGUUCGUUGUAUCCCAAAGAUUAUAAACUUGAUAAAGAUGAAUUAAUCUUACUGUGGAUGGCUGAAGAUCUUUUACAACCACCAAGGAGGGGACAGACUCUAGAAGAAGUUGGUUGCGAGUGUUUUGAUGGCUUGGUUUCAAGACUAUUCUUCAAGCAGGUCGAGAAUGAUGACGAGAAGUAUUUUGUGAUGCAUGAUCUCAAGCAUGACUUGGCAACUUUUCUUGCUGGAGAUCUUUGUUGUAGAUUUGGUGAAAAAGAAAAGAUGAGUAUUCUAACUCGGCAUUUGUCAUACAAUCAUUCAAUCCCUGAGGUAACAUGCUCCUCUAGUAAAAUAAAAUAUUUGAGGACAUUAUUCUAUAUCAAUGAUGGAUCUCAUAUCGGGAAAGCACCUGCAACAUUACCAUGUGACAUAUUGUCAAAGAAUAAAUACUUGAGAGUUUUAUCCUUUGGUAGAAUUGAUAUAUUUCCUGAUUCAAUAGAUAAAUUGAUCCAACUGCGCUAUUUGGAUCUUUCUUGGAGUGAUAUUGAGGUAUUGCCCGAGUCAUUGUGCAAGUUGUGUAAUUUACAAACGUUAAAGCUAAAAAAUUGUUUUUCCCUAACUAUGCUGCCUAAUGGCAUGUGUAAGCUUGUGAAUUUGCGGCAUCUUGAUAUCAGGGGUACUCCCCUGAAAGAAAUGCCCAAAGGAAUGAGCAAAUUAAAACAAUUGCACAUUUUAAGCAAGUUUGUAGUGGGAAAGAAAGAAGACAAUGGAAUCCAAGAGCUAGGAGGGCUUUUAAAUCUUCAUGGAUCACUUGAGAUUGAGAGAUUGGAGAAUGUGGUUGAUGCCAAUGAAGCAAGGAGUGCAAGGAUAAUAGAUAAGAAGCACAUUGAGGAGUUAUUGUUGAAAUGGUCUCUGUCUUCAGGUGAUGAUAUGGUUUCAAACGCUCAUACUGAUGAACAAGAUAUACUUGGAGGCUUGCAACCACACACUGGCUUGAAAGAGUUAACUGUUGAAGGAUUCAAAGGUGAAAUAUUUCCAGACUGGAUUGGGCAUUCCUUGUACCAAAACAUGACAAGUGUAUCUCUAGAAUGUUGCUGGAAUUGCUGCGUGCUGCCUUCACUUGGACAGCUGCCAUCUCUCAAGUCCCUGAGCAUCAGAAGUUUUGAUGAGCUGAAGAGCAUUGGCAAGGAGUUUUACAAGAAUGAAGGCCAUCAACAUUCUUCGCCUAUUGCACCGUUUCCCUCAUUGGAGACAUUGGAAUUUGAUGACAUGUCAUGUUGGGAGGAGUGGCAAUUACCUGACUCAGAAGCCUUUCCUCAGCUUAAGAGUCUUCAAAUAAGAGAUUGCCCAAUGUUAAAGGGAGAUAUGCUUAGUCAGGUAUUAGUGAGAAUCGUUUCUUCCUCAUUGGAUGUUUCCAGAGUGCACGAACUGAAAAUAAAAGAAGAUGCUGAAAGAUGGGAUAAAAAGAUGAGACUUGAUGGGGAUAGGUUAUCAAUUAGUGGAUUUGAAUGUGUGGUGGAGUGUGCAUUUAAGGCAAGGAUCAUCCACCAUCUAACUUCCCUCCAAGAAAUACAAAUCUCAUACUGUUCAUCUGUUGUAUCCUUGGGGGGCAAUUGUUUACCCAAAUCUUUGCAAAAGCUCAAAAUCUUUAAUUGCCGCCAAAUUGAAUUACUCCAGCAACAACACAAGUAUGAUUUGGUACAUCUACAAAUAUAUCAAAGCUGUGCUUCACUGACUUCAUUGUCGUUGGAUGCCUUCCCCAAUCUCGAGAAUCUGGAGAUAGAAUGGUGUUCAAAUCUGGAAUCAGUUUCAAUGUCAGAGCCACCACAGGCUGCUCUUCAACAUCUCACCAUCUCUAACUGCCCCCAGUUUGUGUCAUUUCCGGAAGAAGGACUGGCUACACCCAACUUGACUCAUCUCAAUGUUAGCAGGUGCUCGAAGUUGGAGGCAUUGCCACGUGGCAUGAAUACUCUUCUCCCAAAUUUAGAGUCUCUCGACAUAGCAGGUUGCCCAAACAUUUGCAGGUGGCCAGAGGGUGGUUUGCCGGCUAAACUGAAAGAGCUUAGGAUAGGAGAAUGCAAGGAACAACUGAAAGGUCUAUCAUGGAUGGGCAACUUGGACAACCUCACUCAUCUCACCAUCUCAGGUCAUGGCAGUGACAACAUAAUAGAGUCAUACCCAGAGGUGGGUUGGCUGCCUCGCCUUCCCUCCGUUACCACUCUACAUAUUCAAGACUUUCAUAAUCUGGAGACAUUGGAGUGCAACCAGCUUCUUCGCCUCACCUCCCUCCAACAACUACACAUUUCAUACUGUCCAAAGCUGAAGAAUAUGGAAGGAGAAAAGCUGCCUUCCUCCCUCCAACAAUUACACAUUUCAUGGUGUGAGAAGCUGGAGAAUAUUGCAGGAGAAAAGCUGCCUCCCUCUCUCUUACUACUUCAACUUGAUUUCUGUGGUUUGCUGGGCAAACACUGCAAGAACAAGCAUCAACAAAUUUGGUCCAAAAUUUCCCACAUCCCCACCAUUCAAGUCAAUGGCAUACAAAUUCUCUGAGUAGAUCUUUCUGAACAGGUAGCUUGUGCACAUAUCGAGAUGUAAUCCUAUACAUUGGCUACACAUCUUCAUUUAAUUCUGUGUUCAUUUGAGGUAGUAAUUAAGCUGGAUUCAUGUAUUAGGAAACAGAAACUCUGUUUUCUGAUUUUGGCUUCAAGUUAUUGAAAAGCAAAGACAUGAUGGAGCAAGUUAGUGGCACUUAUUACUGAAAAGGUUUGGUUGUUGUUGAUUUCCCAAGGCGACGAAGGUAUGUAACUAAUGCAGUCAAGAUGCAAAGAAUAUGCUUUCCAUAUUUGAAGAUGAUAAUCAUAUACCUGAAGUAGUUGAAGAAGUUGUAGUGAUGCCAUCAGCAACAAUUUCGUUCCUAUCAACUUCACUCAAUGGAAGUACAUAUUGAGGUUUGGUAACCAUAUCGAAAUUAUCAUCAUUCAAUCCAAAGUUCAUCAGAAGAGGUGCUCUGUAAUUUUAACUUCAGUCUCUAUAAAUCUACAGUUGGGGAGUGGUUCAAUGGUGGUUUGGGCUGAAAUUUUGACAGCAAGUUCUGGAUGUACUUUUUCGUUCCAAAUGGUUGGAGGAUUAAGAUAAGAUUUGGAGGGUGAGAUAUGGCUUGUGUGCGCAAAGUAACUCUGGUUUUGUAAAUUUUUCAUGUUUUUGGUUACAUUUAUAUGCUGUGGUGCUUGAUUGUUUGACUUAAUGUAAGCAUUUGAUUUGUUUACUUAUUUGAGAUUUUCUUGUA